rnacentral:rRNA from 1 species
GACGAACGCUGGCGGCGGGCUUAACACAUGCAAGUCGAACGAACGCCUUCGGGCGUUAGUGGCGCACGGGUGAGUAACACGUAGGCAAUCUACCCUCGGCUGGGGAAUAACCAGGGGAAACCCUGGCUAAUACCGCAUAACAUCUGGACGUCGCCUGGCGACCAGAUCAAAGCUUUAUGUGGCCGAGGAUGAGCCUGCGUCGGAUUAGCUAGUUGGUGGGGUAACGGCCUACCAAGGCGACGAUCCGUAGCGGGUCGUGAGAGGAUGAUCCGCCACACUGGCACUGAGACACGGGCCAGACUCCUACGGGAGGCAGCAGUGAGGAAUAUUGCGCAAUGGACGAAAGUCUGACGCAGCCACGCCGCGUGCAGGAAGAC